rnacentral:snRNA from 1 species
AGCUUUGCGCAGUGGCAGUAUCGUAGCCAAUGAGGUUUAUCCGAGGUGCAAUUAUUGCUAAUUGAAAGAAUAUCCACCAUC